rnacentral:rRNA from 1 species
UACGUAGGGUGCGAGCGUUGUCCGGAAUUAUUGGGCGUAAAGAGCUUGUAGGCGGUUUGUCGCGUCUGCUGUGAAAAUCCGGGGCUCAACCCCGGACUUGCAGUGGGUACGGGCAGACUAGAGUGUGGUAGGGGGAGACUGGAAUUCCUGGUGUAGCGGUGAAAUGCGCAGAUAUCAGGAGGAACACCGGUGGCGAAGGCGGGUCUCUGGGCCGUAACUGACGCUGAGGAGCGAAAGCAUGGGGAGCGAACAGG